CGGAGCGGCUGGGCCCGUGAGCCAUGGCCGCUGAGCCUGCGCGUCCGGAGCCUGUGCUCCGCAAUGGGAGAGGCCACAACAGUGAGAGGCCCGCGUACCACAAAAAAAAAAAAAAAAAAAAUUAUAUUUUGCAAAGCUAUUGUUGCCAUAGGUAGUGAUUCCUCUGAUGGAUCUGGGAAGGGUAAAUUGAAAACCUUCUGGAAAGGAUUCACCUUUCUAGAUGUCAUUAAGAACAUUCGUGAUUCACGGGAAAAUCUCAAAAUAUCAACAUUAAGAGUUUGGAAGAAGUUGAUUCCAGCCUCAUGGAUGACUUUGAGGGAUUCAAGACUUCAGUGAAGAAAGUCACUGUAGAAGUGGUGGAAAUACCAAGAUAGUUAGAAUUAGAUGUGGAGCCUGAAGAUGUGACUGAAUUGCUGCAAUCUCAUGAUAAAAAUUGAAUUGACGGAUGAGGAAUUGCUUCUAAUGGAUAAGAAAAUAAAGUAGUUUCUUGAGAUGAAAUCUACUCCUGGUGAAGAUGUUGUGAAGAUUGUUGAAAUGACAACAAAGGAUUUAGAAUAUUAUAUAAACUUAGUUGAUAAAGCAGUGGCAGGGUUUGAAAAGAUUGACUCCAAUUUUGAAAUAAGCUCUACUGUAGGUAAAAUGCUAUCACACAGCAUUGCAUGCUACAGAGAAAUCAUUCAUGGAAGAAAGAGUCAAUCAAUGUAGCAAACUUCAUUGUUUUCUUAUUUUAAGAAAUGGCCACAGCCAUCCCAACCUUCAGCAACCAGCACUGUGAUCAGUCAGCAGCCAUCAACAUCGAGGCAAGACCCUCCAUCAGCAAAAAGAUUGCUACCUGCUGAGAUUAGAUGAAGUUCUCCCAAACUGGGAGAGGAGAAGAGUCAGAGGGAAGCCAAAGUGCUUAGAAACUGGAAGGUGUUAGGAAGAGGUCUGAGCUUCAGAGUACCCGUGUCCAUGCUGCUUUCCAUUGAAGACAACCACAUUGACUGAGGUCUGAUGACUUGUGAAGGAUUGUGCCAGAUUCUAGGAUGCCAAGAUCAAUGAGAUGCCAUCCUUGACCUCAAGGAACUUACAACAUAGUGGCCCAGAUAUGUGAAACAGACUGACUCUAAUACAGAUGGAAUGACAUAAGUGAACAAUAACUACACACACACACCAGCAGAAAAAAGAAAGAAAGAAAAAUGUCUUCCAGUGAGCCUACCACUUUGUAAAAUGCUCUCCCAGGCAUAGACUUCAGGCCCCACCUAUUUUAUUCUCUCUCUUCAUCCUGACUGAUCCUAGUCACCCAAAGACCAUUCUCAGGUGUUGGGUCAAGUUGUAGUGUCUGUAGACCAAGUUGGAUCGCUUGUUGGACAAAGAAGUGGAUAAGGAUUAUCAGUUGAGGGCAGAGAAGAUCUUCCUCUUCCCUGAUGAAAAGAAUUUGCAAAGGGAGCCUUUCUGCUGUGGUGUCAUCACAUGGCAGCUUCAUAUUUAGCUCCUCUGGCAAGUAGGGGCAGCCCAGGGUGGACACCCUGGAACUCUCCAGUCCAGUCCUUGCCCCCCUCCUUCCUAGCUAUGCUUGGAGUCACCACCCCCUAUGGGCCCUCUGCCCCACACUUCCCAACUCAUGACUUCGCUUGAGUCUGUAGGUUUGAGUUGUGCUGGACCAUUUGUAGCCUUCAGAGGGCCCCUCAGAAACAGAGUUUGUGGGAUUCAGGUUAUGAUGCUUCCCUGCCUUCUGACCUUGCAUCAAGUGACAUAUAAUGAUUAAAAUGACCCUCUCCAUGUCCCUAGCCACACCUGGCACCAGAUGCUACAUUUCAGUCCUGGGCUUGAAGCUUCUUUGGAAACCUACAAAGGCUUUUCCCUUCACUGUGAGUAAUUCCUGAUUUCAUGGUUGUCCUCACAAGAACUCAGCUUCCAUUUGCUCUUGGCCCUCCACCUCUGCCCAAGGGCAUCUGUCGUGGAAGUCCAGCUGCCCUGAUAUUCAGGGGGCAUUUUCAAGGAGCAAUACCUUCAGGGUGAUUGUGACACCUCCACUUGCCUCGCCUCCACAGGGUCCUCGCUCAUUCCCUGCCUCUCCAUCCCCACGACCACUCUCUGAACACAGGCUUGUGGCAUUUCUUGCAUUUCUUGCUUGGACAUGUGUCAACAGCCUUCUACCAGGCCUCCCUGCCUCCUGUUCUUAUUCAUUCCUCCCUCCCUUCUUCCCUCCUUCCCUCCCAUUUUGGGAGAUAAUUAUGAGGACAGGUCUUGUCGCACUGACCUUUCCAACCUUCCAAGCUUUCCAGGCUUCAGUAGAUCCCCAUAUGCCUGUGGAAGGAACUCCAAGCUAGAAAGGCAGCCAGAGGCUUCCCAACUCCUUACAUCUGGCCUCAAUUUCUACUCGAUGAUGCUACACACACACACACACACACACACACACACACGCUCCAGGUGUGCUUUCCCCCCUCUCCUCAGCACGUUUUACCCUUUCCACUGGGCUGGGCUGCGCUCGAUCCCCUGAAGAGUCCCCCUGUUGAAUCCUUCCUUUCCUUACUUCUCCUCCUUUAGGGGUGUUUUGUGUCUCGGGAGCUGAGUUCCCACUUCUUGCUUGAAGAAUUCUCCGCUCCCUUCCUCCUCUACCCAGACUGAUGGUCCCUCCCCUGCUGCUCCCACAGCAAUGUGCUCAGGCUGGUAUUGUGCUGUUUCCAUCCUGCUUUGCAGAAGCGUCAGUCUUGGCGUAAACUCUCCCUCACCGAUUGUUAAGUGCCUUCAAGGCAGGAACUGUCUCAUCAUAGCUCUGGACCCCAUCACCCACAGUGCCUAGCACAAUAAGAAGUUGCUGAAUUCCUCCGUUCAGUGUGGACUAUAGAAUAGUAAGCAUAUCAACGUAGAUUGGUUGCCAGUUCUGACCAUUCUCUUCUCCCUCAAAAAUAGAUUUUUCUCAUUUUCUGCCAAGAAGCUCAGUCCUCCAUCUACCUCUAUCCACCAACUUCCUUUCACCUUAUAGAUGUAUAUAUGCCCUCUCUCAGCUUAAUCAAAUCAUAACAUUUUGUCACAUUGGUUUCCUAUGCUAUGAAGAGAUAAAUCAUUAUAGACACAUUAUAGCCACUAGGAUGUCUUCUUGACCCCUUCUCUUCUGUCACCCAACCCCAUCCCAGGGGUAACUACUUUCCUGAAUUUGGUAUUUCUAUAUUUUAUAUGGAUUUAGCCAUAUAUGGUCAGUCCAUUGAAAUGGAACCUGGGAGAGGUUGAUGAUUCAGCAAAUAAAUAAAAUGUGGGUGUUUAUAACUGUGCUGUAGCAAGAAAUUCCCAUAUGACAAUGCAUUGACUCCCAGACUAAAAGGGCAUGACAGGCAGUGAGCCCACAGUUAAGGGGUCUCUCUCCAGGGGGUUUCUUCACUGCAUGAGGGCUGUUGAGACCCAGAGCUUCAGGCCUGGGCAAGAGUCCCCUCUCCCCUCUACACAGCCUUGAUCUCUUCACACAGCCUUGGUGGUAAACCAACGCGGGGUUCAUCUCAGCCUAGCUCUCCACCCACCAGCCUAGAUCAGCCUUUGUAGACUGAUCUAGCUCAACAUGUAUCCUUCACCCACGAGAGCAGAUUGCGUUUGCAUAUUUUCAAAUUUUAUAUAAAUAGCAUUGUAACUGUUGUGUGUAUCAUUCUGCAAAUUGCUUUUGUUUUGUUUUGUUUUGUUUGCUCAACUUGAUGUUUUGAAGGUUUAUAAUCAGUUUAAAAUCUCAAAAAAGUAUUCCACUGUAUGCAUAUAGCAAAAUUCUUAUCUUUAUUUUUUUCCUGGUGAAAAAUCACCCAGUUUAAGAAUUCUGACCAACAAGCCACAGCAAACAUACUUGCAUGUGUCUCUUUGUUAAUAGGUGUGUUUCUCACUUUUCUCACUUCAGGCUUUAUGACAAUCUGAUGAGUGCAUGAACUGGUAUCUCCUUGUGGUUACAAUUUGUACUGUUUUAUUACUAGAAAGAGGUGAACCAUGGAAGCAGGGCUUUUUCUGUAAAGGGCCAGAGAGUAAAUAUUUUACACCGGUCAUUCUCCGUCAUGUACUUGACCCUGCCCUAGAAGUACAGAAAGCAGCCACAGACAUUCAUUCAUAAGUUAAUGGUCAUCUUUUUUAAAAAUUUAUUUUAUUGAAAUAUAGCUGAUUUACAAUGUUGUGUUACUUUCUACUGUACAGCAAAGUGAUUCACUUAUACAUAUAUAUAUAUUCUUUUUCAUAUUGUUUUUCAUCAUGGUUUAUCACAGGAUAUUGAAUAUAGUUCCCUAUGCUUGUUUAUCUAUUCUAUAUAUAAUAGUUUGCAUCUGCUAAUCCCAAACUCCCGAUCCAUCCCUCCCCCACAUCCCCUACCCCUUGGCAACCACAAGUCUGUUUCUGUUUUGUAGAUAUGUUCAUUUGUGUCAUAUUUUAGAUUCCACAUAUAAGUGAUAUCAUAUGGUAUUUGUCUUUCUCUGUCUGGCUUACUUUACUUAGUAUGAAAAUCUUUAGGCCCAUCUAUGUCACUGCAAAUGGUAUUAUUUCAUUCUUUUUAUGGCUGAGUAAUAUUCCAUUGUAUAUAUGUACCACAUCUUCUUUAUCCAUUCAUCUGUAAAUGGACAUUUAGGUUGUUCCCAAGUCUUAGCUAUUGUGAAUAGUGCUGCUAUGAACAUUGGGGUGCAUGUAUCUUUUUGAAUUAUAGUUUUGUCUGGAUAUAUGCCCAGGAAUGGGAUUGCUGGAUCAUAUGGCAACUCUAUUUUUAGUUUUUUAAGGAACUUCCAUACUGUUUUCCAUAGUGGCUGCAGCAAUUUACAUUCCCACCAACAGUGUAGGAGGGUUCUUAACAGGCAACUUUUGAUUCAACAUUAUUUACAAAAAUAGGCAGCCGGUCAGCAGGCUAUAGUUUUCUGACCCCUUGUUCAAGAGACACUCUCUGAAAAACACAAACCAGUCAAAAAAUAGGCAAGAUCUGAACAGGCACUAUGUAGAAGAUAAUGUGCCGUUAGCUAGUAAGUAUACAAACAGUUCAAUCUCUCUCGAGUCACCAGGGAGUUUGUGAUCAACUUCCCUCCCUGACAGCCCAGAAGGCCUUCGGGUACUUCUCCUAACAGGGCAGGAGGAAGCCAUGCAAAUGACUUCAGUGAUAUGAGCAUCUUGGGGAAGCUCUCCCCACCCAGAACGAGGGGGCCAUCCCUGUCUACUCUUUAUUUACAUUGAGACUGUUCAGGACCCUCCUUGGAGCCUUCAGACACAUGUAAAAACUGUAUAUCCUGCCGUUUAGCAAGUAAGGGAGGCAAGACUGCAUCUGGUGAAAUCACUGAUACGAUGCAGAGGAAAUUUCCAGACCAUCCUUCCUGAAGGUUAAAUUCUUUCUUCAUGAGACGAGAAUUGGACAAUGGGAUGACAGAGCAGAGGCAAAGAGAUUUCCAAAGUCCUUUCUGCUUGGUCAGCUGUAAUAUGCUUCCUCUGAACAUUGCUGAUCUCAAACAUUUUAAUGACUCAAGCUUAAAGAGAGUUUACCAUUAGAAAAGCAUCCCACUACUCUGAAGUAGGAUCAGCAGGGAAACUAAUAGCUGCAGAGUUUGCAAAACACUCCAUCCUCCCUGCGUUCAGUUGGCAACCUGGGAAAACACUGAGAACAGAUGGUUUGCCAUCAGGGUUUAACAAGCAGACCUGGGAGGAACUGAACUUCUGCCUGUGACCAACUGAAAGAAGAAGCCCAUGCACGCCCCCUGGGCAGCGGGGAGGCCCUGAUCAUGUUGGUGCUAAAGUCAGGGAAGGACCGCAAGUAACGGCAGGGUGAAAUGCAGGCCUAUCUCUCAGUUAAGACAAUGCCAGUCCUGCUCUGACCCGUCCAGGAUGCUUUGAAGACAUCCUUAUCUCAGAUGUCAAACAGCUCUUAGCUGGGUGACGUGGCAGAUGCUGUGGGCCAUACCCGACUCGGGCACACGAGAUUUAAACAUAGGUCACCAUAGUCCCCCAAGGAACCCCAAACCAUAUUCCAUUUCAAAAGUCACCACUAUAGGCUGAUCCGUUCACCUUCACCCCAUCCCCUUGCUGCAAACCAAGUGAGAGAACAAACCGCCUACAAAGCAUAAAUCUGCUGACACCACAGCAGAGGCCUUGGAGAGACUUGUGACAGGCCCAGGACUCCAGUUCUCUGUGUCAGUCCAUAAUUAGCUACUUUAGUCAAACUGUCCCCAAUACAGAACAUCUUCUAUAUGAUAUGAACUCAGUUCUCUGAGAAACGGCAAUGGAAGUAUACUUUUUAGCCCUGACAACUAUUUUCAGGAACUGUUUUCUUAAAGCCUGUAUGACCCAGGACAACCUCAGCUCUCAUCAAAACAUAGGAACAAAUGGUGGCAAAGUAAUAGUACUAACUGGGGUUAUACAGGCUCUUGUCCAUUCCUGACCUGCUGCAAAUGGGUGUCCCACAAAUAGUGCUGGCGUUCCCCAGAGGCUCACUAAUGCUCCCAAAUAAGACCUCUCCCACUACUGGGGCAACUGCUGUGUCUGCUGGGAACUGACCCCACUCUGCUGUGGGCGCACCACUCACACACAUCCCUCCUGGGACCACUGGGCAUCAGUGGUCCCCUGCUGAAUCUUCCAGGGGGUACUCAUCCAACCCAGACCCUGACCAGGACCCAGCAGUGCUGGUUCCUCUCAGGUGUGGAUGAUUAGCCUGUCCCCUGACUCUGUGUUUCACUUUGCUACUUGUACUGAAGUAUCUCCACUUGUACUCCCA